rnacentral:rRNA from 1 species
UACGUAGGGGGCAAGCGUUGUCCGGAAUCAUUGGGCGUAAAGCGCGUGUAGGCGGUCCGGUAAGUCCGCUGUGAAAGUCGGGGGCUCAACCCUCGAAUGCCGGUGGAUACUGUCGGGCUAGAGUGCGGAAGAGGCGAGUGGAAUUCCUGGUGUAGCGGUGAAAUGCGCAGAUAUCAGGAGGAACACCAAGUGCGAAGGCAGCUCGCUGGGACGUCACUGACGCUGAGACGCGAAAGCGUGGGGAGCAAACAGG